AGAGCCGCCCGGGCGGACGCCGGCGCUUUCAAAACGCGCGGGAGGAAAGUCCGGGCUCCACAGGGCAGGGUGCUGGCCAACGGCCAGCCGAGGCAACUCGCGGGACAGCGCCACAGAGAACAGACCGCCGGCGAAAGCCGGCAAGGGUGAAACGGUGCGGUAAGAGCGCACCGCGCCCGUGGUGACACGGGCGGCACGGCAAGCCCCACCCGGAGCA
rnacentral:RNase_P_RNA from 1 species